rnacentral:ncRNA from 12 species
UAUUAUUGAGGUCGGAAAUGGUUCCUGACACACUCUUCGUGAGUACCUGAGAUGAUGGAUACACCGCUCAUCCAAUAAUA